CCCGCUGAACUUAAGCAUAUCAAUAAGCGGAGGAAAAGAAACUAACAAGGAUUCCCCUAGUAACGGCGAGUGAAGUGGGAAGAGCUCAACUUUGUAAUCUGGCUGCUUUGCAGUCCGAGUUGUAGUCUAGAGAAGCAUGAUCCGCGCUGGACCUUACAGAUGUCUGUUGGAAUGCAGGAUCAAAGAGGGUGAGAAUCCCGUACAUAGUAAGGACGCCCAGUGCAUUGUGAUCUGUUUUCAACGAGUCGAGUUGUUUGGGAAUGCAGCUCAAAUCGGGUGGUAAAUUCCAUCUAAAGCUAAAUAACGGCGAGAGACCGAUAGCGAACAAGUACCGUGAGGGAAAGAUGAAAAGCACUUUGGAAAGAGAAUGAAACAGUAUGUGAAAUUGCUGGAAGGGAAACGAUUGAAGUUAGACUUGCGCAGUGGGUAUUCAGCCUCGCUUCGGCCUGGUGUAUUUGCCUGCUCCUGCAGGCCAGCAUCAGUUUGCUUCGCCGUAAAAGGGUUUGGGGAACGUGGCUUCUUCGGGAGUGUUACAGCCCCUUGCUGGAUGCGGAGUCGCAGACUGAGGAACGCAGCGCGCCUUCGUGGGCAGAGUCUUUUAGAUUCAAAGCGCUUAGGAUGCUGGUGGAAUAGCUUUAAACGACCCGUCUUGAAACACGG
rnacentral:rRNA from 1 species